GAUGAAGAACGCAGUGAAAUGCGAUAAGUAAUGUGAAUUGCAGAAUCUCGUGAAUCAUCGAAUCUUUGAACGCACAUUGCGCCCUAUGGAAUUCUGUAGGGCAUGCCUGUCUGAGCAUCAGCAGCAAAAAAAUCAAAAUCUUUGUAGGUAAAGAUUUGGAUUUGGUUAAGAGAUGUAAUCUGUAAAGAACCGGUUACUCUUUUGAAAUUUAAAGGCAGUAUUGAUCAAUCCAACUGUAAACGUGAUAAAACAUUUCGUUUUAUUGUUAGGAAUGAGCUUUUUGCUUGCCUAUAAACCCACUCAUCUUCAUGGGUGACCUCAGAUCAGGUAGGGAUACCCGCUGAACUUAAGCAUAUCAAUAAGCGGAGGA
rnacentral:misc_RNA from 1 species